rnacentral:rRNA from 1 species
GACGAACGCUGGCGGCGUGCUUAACACAUGCAAGUCGAACGGAAAGGCCCUGCUUUUGUGGGGUGCUCGAGUGGCGAACGGGUGAGUAACACGUGAGUAACCUGCCCUUGACUUUGGGAUAACUUCAGGAAACUGGGGCUAAUACCGGAUAGGAGCUCCUGCUGCAUGGUGGGGGUUGGAACGUUUCGGCGGUUGGGGAUGGACUCGCGGCUUAUCAGCUUGUUGGUGGGGUAGUGGCUUACCAAGGCUUUGACGGGUAGCCGGCCUGAGAGGGUGACCGGGCACAUUGGGACUGAGAUACGGCCCAGACUCCUACGGGAGGCAGCAGUGGGGAAUAUUGCACAAUGGGCGGAAGCCUGAUGCAGCAACGCCGCGUGCGGGAUGACGGCCUUCGGGUUGUAAACCGCUUUCGCCUGUGACGAAGCGUGAGUGACGGUAAUGGGUAAAGAAGCACCGGCUAACUACGUG